rnacentral:rRNA from 1 species
AAUGAACGUUGGCGGCGUGGAUUAGGCAUGCAAGUCGAGCGAGAACCCGCAAGGGGGACAGCGGCGAACGGGGUAGGACAACGUAGGUAACGUACCCUCGGGGCGAGGACAGCCACGGGAAACUGUGGGUAAUACUCGAUAAUGUUCCCAAACUUGAUUGGAGGGGAACCAAUGGGUGUGAUUCCACCUGAGGAGCGGCUUACGCAGUAUCAGCUUGUUGGUGAGGUAACGGCUCACCAAGGCGAUGACGCUUAGGGGAUGUGAGAGCAUGAUCCCCACCACUGGCACUGAGACACUGGCCAGACACCUACGGGUGGCUGCAGUCGAGAAUCUUCGGCAAUGGACGCAAGUCUGACCGAGCGACGCCGCGUGCGGGAUGAAGGUCUUCGGAUUGUAAACCGCUGUCAGAGGGGAUGAAGUGUAUGGGAGUUAUCUCCUGUAUUUGACAGAGCCUCAGAGGAAGCACGGGCUAAGUUCGUGCCAGCAGCCGCGGUAAU